CCGAGUGCGGGUUCUAGCGAGCCCAACCUCCCACCCGUGUUUACUGUUACCGCGUUGCUUCGGCGGGCCCACUGGGGCCUCGCCCCGGUCGCCGGGGGGCUCUUGCCCCCGGGCCCGCGCCCGCUGAAGCGCCCUGGAACCCUGUCUGAAUAGUGAGUCUGAGUGAGAGAUUGAAUCAUUA
rnacentral:misc_RNA from 1 species